GCAUCAGUGGUUUAGUGGUAGAAUGCUCGCCUGCCACGCGGGCGGCCGGGGUUCGAUUCCCGGCCGAUGCA
rnacentral:tRNA from 1 species